CAGAAGUGGCUACAUUGUAAAAACUAAGUUGGAUUUUCAUAGAAUGGUUUAGGAAGCUGCAAGCUUAAAGUUAAAUUUUAAAAGGUUGACAAAGCAGAUAAAAUAGUCCAUAGAGAAAGAAGUGAAGACGAGAAAAUACAUGGAAAAGGCCAGCCUUGACACAUGGGUGUACAGGUGCCACAGUACAGUUUGAAUGAAAAGGGAAGGAACUGAAACUAACAUUGCAUAGCAGAAGAAGACAGUCAAAGAGAAACAAGAACUGUGAAAAUGGAGACUAAACUUCGAAUGAUAAAAAGGAACAGUAAAUAGCAGAAUGUUCAUCACAGUAAGAUAUAUAACUAGUUAGAAAUGUAUUGAAGAAGAAAAGAGUCAGAUGAAAAGUUCCAUUUGUAUGUACAGAUUUCU